rnacentral:rRNA from 1 species
AGUGAACGCUGGCGGUAGGCCUAACACAUGCAAGUCGAACGGCAGCACAGUAAGAGCUUGCUCUUACGGGUGGCGAGUGGCGGACGGGUGAGGAAUACAUCGGAAUCUACUUUUUCGUGGGGGAUAACGUAGGGAAACUUACGCUAAUACCGCAUACGACCUACGGGUGAAAGCAGGGGAUCUUCGGACCUUGCGCGAUUGAAUGAGCCGAUGUCGGAUUAGCUAGUUGGCGGGGUAAAGGCCCACCAAGGCGACGAUCCGUAGCUGGUCUGAGAGGAUGAUCAGCCACACUGGAACUGAGACACGGUCCAGACUCCUACGGGAGGCAGCAGUGGGGAAUAUUGGACAAUGGGCGCAAGCCUGAUCCAGCCAUACCGCGUGGGUGAAGAAGGCCUUCGGGUUGGAAAGCCCGUUUGUUGGGAAAGAAAAGCAGCAGGUUAAUACCCCGCUGUUCUGACGGUACCCAAAGAAUAAGCACCGGCUAACUUCGUG